GUGUUGUAUGAAAGGAGAGAAGGUUAGCACUUCCCUUGACAAAGAUGGAAGAGGCCCUUGGGCCUGACAACAUGCAUACAGUUAAGGCAAUGCCACCUACUUUGUGGCAUCUAACCAAUGUUUUUU
ensembl:snRNA